rnacentral:rRNA from 1 species
CUGGGAUAACUUCGGGAAACCGGAGCUAAUACCGGAUAAUAUUUUGAACCGCAUGGUUCAAAAGUGAAAGACGGUCUUGCUGUCACUUAUAGAUGGAUUCGCGCUGCAUUAGCUAGUUGGUAAGGUAACGGCUUACCAAGGCAACGAUGCAUAGCCGACCUGAGAGGGUGAUCGGCCACACUGGAACUGAGACACGGUCCAG